GAUGAACGCUGGCGGCGUGCUUAACACAUGCAAGUCGAACGAUGAAGCCCAGCUUGCUGGGUGGAUUAGUGGCGAACGGGUGAGUAACACGUGAGUAACCUGCCCUUUACUCUGGGAUAAGCCCGGGAAACUGGGUCUAAUACCGGAUAGGAGCGCCUGUCGCAUGACGGGUGUUGGAAAGAUUUUUCGGUCAUGGAUGGACUCGCGGCCUAUCAGCUUGUUGGUGAGGUAAUGGCUCACCAAGGCGACGACGGGUAGCCGGCCUGAGAGGGUGACCGGCCACACUGGGACUGAGACACGGCCCAGACUCCUACGGGAGGCAGCAGUGGGGAAUAUUGCACAAUGGGCGGAAGCCUGAUGCAGCGACGCCGCGUGAGGGAUGACGGCCUUCGGGUUGUAAACCUCUUUCAGUAGGGAAGAAGCGAAAGUGACGGUACCUGCAGAAGAAGCACCGGCUAACUACGUG
rnacentral:rRNA from 1 species